rnacentral:rRNA from 1 species
AAAAUUUUAAAGGUCGAACAGACCUAGAAAUUAAGCUUCUACACCUAAUUCUAAUUUUAAUCCAACAUCGAGGUCGCAAACUUUUCUAUUGAUAAGAACUCUCCAGAAAAAUUACG